AAGGCUCCACAAAUUAGGGUUCUCAAAAUAAUGAUUUCUAAAUCAGUUGGAAGUUUAAAACAUUCUCAUACCUAAAUGAUGCAUGGUAUAUUUUAUGCCAUAAGAAUGUUUCUUUGAUCUUCAAGACAAUUAUUUAUGAAUAUAAGUGUUUCAAUCUUGGUCAACUCAGAGAAGAUGAUGACUUUUCAGUCUUGUCUCUCAGAGUGAUCUCUUGAUAUUUCUAGUUUAAAUUUAAGUUGAGCUGACUUCCAGAUCUUUUAGAUCUGAUCUUUCUGGCUCUGGGCCUAAGAUAAAUGUAAGAGAGGUAACAAGUAUUAGUGUGAGUCUCGAAGCCUUCCAUUCAUGCCCUGACCUUGAGGAUAUGCGCCUUGCUGCUGUGGCAACUGCCCAGCCUGGAUUUGUGCCUCCACUGGGCUGAGCAGGAGAUGGGCAGAGAGGAUAAAUCUAAGGUAUCCAGAGAGGCACUUUGGUCUACAUUCAAAGAGGCCAAGAGCAUCUCAAGACAGAGGUAGAUAGAUAGAAAAAGAAGGAGCUCUCCAAGCUGACAAGAGAAGAGAGAAGGAGAGCCGGUGCUGGUUGAGGGAGAACUGAGGAGAGAAGGAAGAGAGAGAAUGCGGGCACCUGCUGAGCCACAUGAGAAACAGAGGAAAUGAAGAUGGUGAAAAGGGAUUUUUAAGAGUCAGUGGUGUGAGGCGAAUGAUCUCCUGUGGUACUUUCCAAGAGAAUUCAAUAAAACUCUGAAUUUCUUACAAUGUGUUUUUUAGAAUGUUAUACUUUAUUUCUUUGAAUGUGAUACCAUGUAGGAAAUGGACCAAACAGACCACCUUUAUGAGGGAGGAUGAGAGCUGUGACCUCUAUUUCACAAAAACUUGAUUUAAGAGUUGUGUAACUUUAAGUGCUAAACUGAUAAUCUGGCAGCUAAGUGCCAUCAUGAAAUUCUGUCAUUUCCUCUAGAUACAGCUCAGUUCUGACCCCCUUCCCUUCUCCUAGAUUGUCGCAGAUACUCGACCACUCUCCCUGCCAGCGCCUUGCUCCACUGUGGGACAGCCGGAGUGUUUCUUCUAGAAUGUAUGCCACAGUCCAUCAUCCCUCUGACCAUCGCCCUCCAGGGGCUUCAGUCCUCGCCAAGACUUCUAAGACCCUGUGAGCCCCUUCCUUUGACUUCUCCACUCUCAGCUCCCUCUCGUUUGCUUUCACACUCCAGCUCUGUUUGAAACAGGUCCCUGCCCCUCCUUCCCCCGUCCCUCUCUCAAUCCACACUCUACUUUUUUGCUUCGUAACAUUCAUCAGUCCCUGAAAUUAUAUCUUAUAUUUAUCUAUUUAAUUGUUCCUAGUCUGUAUUCCCUUCUAGAAUGUCGCUCCAUAAGGGUGGGAACUUUGCUGUGUGCACAGCUGGAGGUCCACUGCUGGACCAACAUCUUUCAUUCUAAGGUGAAAUGGAUGGAUGAGUGAUUGGCGCAUAUCUGAGAAAACUUCCUGUCCUCAGAGUCCCAAUGCCUCCCAAGCACUGGGCACUGUGACAGGUGCCGGGGAGAUAGAAACACACAAGGCGGAACCUGCCUCCACAGGGCUCACUCUGCUGGAAAAGCCAGAAAUUAAAUAAAAGUUUAUAAAAUAUCUCAAGGAAUCAAUUACAUGUGUAAGGAGUGCUAAUAAAAAUCCAAGAAAAGUGAUUUCAGUUGAACCUAAAUUAAACUCUUCCUUUACAUUUCAAGAAUAUAUCCAAGCAAAUCAGACUAAUUUUUCUAUAACAUUUGCCAUUUUUCUCUUUAGCAUUUUAGAAAGGAAAGGAGUGAAUAUAGGGUGAUGAUAUCAGGGGAAAAAGGCGUUAGAAUCACACAGGGAGAAGAGAGAAGGAGGCGAGAGACUUGCGAAACAGAGGCGAAGAAGGAAGGAAGACGCUUACCCUUGUGUGUGGUGGGAUGGUCUUCAGGUUGGUUCUCUACCUGCCUCAUGGAGACACGGCUCCCCACUGGGAGCCCGGAAAUGAUUGUGGUCUUCAAGGCACUCAUGAAUGGCCCCAAAAGAACGACUUAAUAACAUACUACAUUUGAUCAUUUAUCAAGUGACCUGGAAGAUUUAACAUAAUUAUGAUGAAGAUAAAUGGUUCUUAACUUUUAAAAUAUCAAAAAUUUCAUAUGAAAACAUUUGCAUAUAUUUAUGUAACUACCAUUGCUCUUUAUUAUUUUUAUUAUUGCAGUUUGGAAUGCCCCUCCCUCUCCUCAAAUUUUGCUCUGACUUUGUUCAGAAAUGAAAAAUUAACCUCAUCAGAUAGACUUUUUCCCUACCUUACCUAUUAUCAGAUGGUUUAUAAAAGUAUAAUCAAUGCUCAGAAUUCUUAACUGAAACUUUGAAUUAGAUCAAUAUGUGCUUAAGAAUAAUGAUACAUAUAAUUAGAUAAUAUGCAUUAAUGUUAAAAAAAAAAAAGUACUGUCUCUAAUUUAACUUUGACAACAGGUCCUGAGGAGCUCCAGCAGCAGGGCUGGGGUCUGCGUCCGGCUCCUGAUCUGCGCUGGUCCUGCAGGAGGAACAGCCUGGCUGCCAGCUCAUCCUUCACUCCGUGUCUCACGCCUGGGGCUCUGCUGCCCUCUCUGCAGUUUCCUCCAAGUUUACUUUUUCUUUGUCCUCUUCUUUCUUUUCUUCAGAAAAAUUAAUCUGCUUUGCUUAAAUAUACUCUUGAAAUUUAAAGGAAGAGCUUAAUUUAGGGUGAACUUAAAUUGUUUACUUUCCUCCUCAGCUCGCUCGCUGGCUGCCUCCGCUGGUGGGAGCCGCCCCGCUUUGAUGCCUUCGCUGCUGGAAGCUCAGCGGCCUGUGUGACAUCACUCUGGGCACCUCCUCCUCCUGUCGCCUGGCCUGAGUCUCCCUGUGCUCCCCAAACCUCCGGCGCCUUCCCAUGAAGCUGGGCCCUCUGGGACCCUGCCAUCAAGGCCCCAGGGACAUCAGCGCUUUCUGCAGGAUGUCGGGGCAAUAAGCAGUAAGGCUCUUCGGCACUCGCUCUGCUCUGUGAAGAGAGGAUACAGCAGAAACAAUGCCUCCCCUGAAGAAGACCCAUCUUCUCUACCUUUGGUAAGAAACAUGUAAACAGGUGCCUCAAGUCAUCUGGGAAUAUUAUCGACAAUGUAAUUCUUGGAGUAAAAUUUGAAACUUACGUAUGACUUUCCCUGUAACCUCCAAAAUCUUUUCAAUGGUGGAAGCAGAAUGUCUUCCUUAUUUCCACUACGAAAUAACAACAAAAAACCCUGACAAUUAUUCCUGAAAUAUGUGCUUUGUUUAAACACAAGGUGUACAGUGAACACAGUUUUAUCAGCGCUCUUGGACAAGAUUCCAAUAUGCUGUUUCUGCAAGGAAAAAUAAGCCCACUUUACAACUAAUCUCUGGGACUUCGAUAGCUAAAUAAUCAUGGAAUCGGCAUUCAGGUCUUUGGGCACCCACUUCCCAUGCACUUCCUUGAGGCUAUAGUCUCGGUAAUUGAAUUGAGAGAUGAAAAACGUGAACCCAACCUCGACAGAUCAAGCUGACCUGAAACAGUAUGCAUGGCAAUAUCAUUAUAUUCGAGGGCCAAAGGAAACUUGUGUGCUGGUUGUUUUCCUCUAAACCUGACUGUUUUGAUGGAGUCAUUGCUGUAAAUCCUGUGUGUAAUAAAACACGGAGUUUUGGGGUUCUCUUCAGAACAGAGAUCAUAUAAGUUUCAAAGUCUAAAUUGGGCAGCUAAGUGAAAUCCUGUCUGUCAUCAGAUGAAUGUGGCAGUUGGAGUUCCAGCACUUACGGCCAACAACUUCAGGCAGCAGGCAGGAAGAAGUGGGGAAGAAGACGUACCUCUUCCCGGUUAGGGAGCCUCCCCUGGAGUCCCACACGAUGCUUUGCUUAAAUCUCAUCGGUUAGAACAAAGUCACAUGGUCAUAUCUAGUUGCAAAAUUGCCUGGGAAAAGGAAUCUUUUAGAAGAGUGGCCAUGUGCCAGCUGAAAGUGGUCAUUUAGGUGAGAUGGCCAGAAAUCUGCCAGAGAAAGGAAAAAACUGUACAGUUACUUCCAGAUCUUGUGAUUGUCUACGUGGAGAAGUGCAGAGGCCCCUGACACGCACCUUUAAAACUAGGAAGAGACUUCAUCAAGGUUGCUAUAUAAGCGAAAGACUAGUAGAAACAAAGAUAUCAUUCAUGAAGGCAAUUAAACUAUGAUACAUCUAGAAAUAACUAUAGAAAUAUAUAAUUUUAUGGAAAAUAAUAAUAUUGAAAGAUAAAAAGUAACCUAAAAACAGUGAUAUGACAUUCUCAUGAAUGACAAAAUUCACCAUUUUGAAGAAAUCCAUUCCCACUAAAUUUAUCUACAAAUUUGAAAUAAAUCCAAUAAAGGUCUCCACAGCAUGUUUCUUGGAAAUUGGCAGAUAUUUUAAAUUCAUUUUUGGGAGAAUCAAUGGCAAAGAAUAUCCACGAAAAUGCUGAAGAAGAAAUAGUGGGAUUUGCCUACCAAAUAGCAAGAUGUAUUAUGAUAUUAAAACUUUGUAUAAGUUACACAUUGAAUCACUGUUGGAGAGUAGCCCAGAAACAGCCUUUACAAGUAUUUAACCUUCGUCUAUGACACAGCUAACAUUACAGAUCAAUGAACAACUGAUGCUGGGGCAAAUGCUUAUUCAAAUGGAAAAACUAAGACUGUAUCUGUAUCUCACUGUGUGCACAAAACCAGCUGCAGAUGGAUUAAAAAUAUAAAAUGAAAGUCAAAUGCUAAAGUUUGAGAACAAAAUUUGGGAGGCUAUCUUUAGUGCCUGAAGACAUUGAAGGAUUUACUAAAUGACACACACAAAGCAUUAGCCAUGAAGAAAACAACUGACAAAUUGGACUACACUGAGGCUCUGAGUGAAAAAAAAUCAUGACAAAGUUAAAAGACAAACAGUAGACUAGAAGGCGGCACGUAGGAGGCACUUAAUUCAGAGGACAAGUUUCAUAACAAAGAACUGUGCAUCCGUAAGAAGACGGCUCUCAACCCAGUAGGAAAUGGAUUUGAAAAGCUGUAAACAGUUUGCCAAAGAGAAAACUCAAAAGGCUGAAUAAUCGUAUGAAAACAUCCUUUCUCUCACUAUAAUCAAAAAAAGGGCAAAUUAAAUAAAAAUGUGUUAGCAUUUCA